rnacentral:rRNA from 1 species
UACGAAGGGGGCUAGCGUUGUUCGGAAUCACUGGGCGUAAAGCGCACGCAGGCGGAUGGAUAAGUCGGGGGUGAAAGCCCGGGGCUCAACCUCGGAAUUGCCUUCGAUACUGUCGGUCUCGAGUCCGGGAGAGGGGAGUGGAAUUCCUAGUGUAGAGGUGAAAUUCGUAGAUAAUAGGAACAACACCAGUGGCGAAGGCGGCUCUCUGGCCCGGUACUGACGCUCAGGUGCGAAAGCGUGGCGAUGAAACAGG